ensembl:ncRNA T10D4.17 ncRNA
CUCAGGCUUAGGCUUAGGCUUAGGCGUAGUCUUAGACUAGGCGUAGGCUU